GGCUUAAUUUGACUCAACGCGGGAAAUCUUACCGGGUCCGGACACACUGAGGAUUGACAGACAAAUAUGGAAAUUUUAUAUUUCUCAUAUAUAAAGAUGCUAGUUCUUUCAUGAUUAUGUGAUAGGUGGUGCAUGGCCGUUCUUAGUUCGUGGAGUGAUCUGUCUGCUUAAUUGCGUUUCAAUUUUUAUUAUGUAUACGUAUGACCCACGUUUACGCGUGCGAGUCUAGUAUGCUAUCAUUUGAAAGCAACGAACGUGACCGUAUCCUUUUAUUAUAUACGCACGCGUAUAUUUAUUCAUUAAAGGGACCGCUGUUUCUUUUUUUAAACCAGAGGAAGGUUACGGCAAUAACAGGUCUGUGAUGCC
rnacentral:rRNA from 1 species